UACGUAGGGGGCAAGCGUUGUCCGGAUUUAUUGGGCGUAAAGAGCGUGUAGGCGGUUUACAGGUCCGCUGUGAAAACUCGAGGCUCAACCUCGAGCUGUCGGUGGAAACCGUAAGGCUAGAGUCCGGAAGAGGAGAGUGGAAUUCCUGGUGUAGCGGUGAAAUGCGCAGAUAUCAGGAAGAACACCCGUGGCGAAGGCGGCUCUCUGGGACGGGUAC
rnacentral:rRNA from 1 species